GUGCCAGCCGCCGCGGUAAUACCGGCAGCCCAAGUGAUGGCCGAUCUUAUUGGGCCUAAAGCGUCCGUAGCUGGCCUCGCAAGUCCGUCGGGAAAUCCACCAGCCCAACUGAUGGGCGUCCGGCGGAAACUACAAGGCUUGGGACCGGAAGGCGCGAGGGGUACGUCUGGGGUAGGAGUGAAAUCCCGUAAUCCCGAACGGACCGCCGAUGGCGAAAGCACCUCGAGAAAACGGCUCCGACAGUGAGGGACGAAAGCUAGGGUCUCGAACCGGAUUAGAAACCCGUGUAGUCC
rnacentral:rRNA from 1 species